rnacentral:rRNA from 1 species
UUCCUACGGGGCGCAGCAGUGAGGAAUAUUGGUCAAUGGUCGGGAGACUGAACCAGCCAAGCCGCGUGAGGGAGGAAGGUACAGAGUAUCGUAAACCUCUUUUGUCAGGGAACAAAGGCGGGGACGUGUCCCCGGAUGAGUGUACCUGAAGAAAAAGCAUCGGCUAACUACGUGCCAGCAGCCGCGGUAAAACGUAGGGUGCAAGCGUUGUCCGGAAUUACUGGGUGUAAAGGGAGCGCAGGCGGACUGUCAAGUUGGGAGUGAAAACUACGGGCUCAACCCGUAACUUGCUUUCAAAAAUGGCG